rnacentral:rRNA from 1 species
GACGAACGCUGGCGGCGUGCUUAACACAUGCAAGUCGAACGGAAAGGCCCUGCUUUUGUGGGGUGCUCGAGUGGCGAACGGGUGAGUAACACGUGAGUAACCUGCCCUUGACUUUGGGAUAACUUCAGGAAACUGGGGCUAAUACCGGAUAGGAGCUCCUGCUGCAUGGUGGGGGUUGGAGAGUUUCGGCGGUUGGGGAUAGACUCGCGGCUUAUCAGCUUGUUGGUGGGGUAGUGGCUUACCAAGGCUUUGACGGGUAGCCGGCCUGAGAGGGUGACCGGCCACAUUGGGACUGAGAUACGGCCCAGACUCCUACGGGAGGCAGCAGUGGGGAAUAUUGCACAAUGGGCGGAAGCCUGAUGCAGCAACGCCGCGUGCGGGAUGACGGCCUUCGGGUUGUAAACCGCUUUCGCCUGUGACGAAGCGUGAGUGACGGUAAUGGGUAAAGAAGCACCGGCUAACUACGUGCCAGCAGCCGCGGUGAUACGUAGGGUGCGAGCGUUGUCCGGAUUUAUUGGGCGUAAAGGGCUCGUAGGUGGUUGAUCGCGUCGGAAGUGUAAUCUUGGGGCUUAACCCUGAGCGUGCUUUCGAUACGGGUUGACUUGAGGAAGGUAGGGGAGAAUGGAAUUCCUGGUGGAGCGGUGGAAUGCGCAGAUAUCAGGAGGAACACCAGUGGCGAAGGCGGUUCUCUGGGCCUUUCCUGACGCUGAGGAGCGAAAGCGUGGGGAGCGAACAGGCUUAGAUACCCUGGUAGUCCACGCUGUAAACGGUGGGUACUAGGUGUGGGGUCCAUUCCACGGGUUCCGUGCCGUAGCUAACGCUUUAAGUACCCCGCCUGGGGAGUACGGCCGCAAGGCUAAAACUCAAAGGAAUUGACGGGGCCCCGCACAAGCGGCGGAGCAUGCGGAUUAAUUCGAUGCAACGCGUAGAACCUUACCUGGGUUUGACAUGGAUCGGGAGCGCUCAGAGAUGGGUGUGCCUCUUUUGGGGUCGGUUCACAGGUGGUGCAUGGCUGUCGUCAGCUCGUGUCGUGAGAUGUUGGGUUAAGUCCCGCAACGAGCGCAACCCUUGUUCACUGUUGCCAGCACGUUAUGGUGGGGACUCAGUGGAGACCGCCGGGGUCAACUCGGAGGAAGGUGGGGAUGACGUCAAGUCAUCAUGCCCCUUAUGUCCAGGGCUUCACGCAUGCUACAAUGGCUGGUACAGAGAGUGGCGAGCCUGUGAGGGUGAGCGAAUCUCGGAAAGCCGGUCUCAGUUCGGAUUGGGGUCUGCAACUCGACCUCAUGAAGUCGGAGUCGCUAGUAAUCGCAGAUCAGCAACGCUGCGGUGAAUACGUUCCCGGG